rnacentral:rRNA from 1 species
AGUGAACGCUGGCGGUAGGCCUAACACAUGCAAGUCGAACGGCAGCACAGUAAGAGCUUGCUCCUACGGGUGGCGAGUGGCGGACGGGUGAGGAAUACAUCGGAAUCUACUUUUUCGUGGGGGAUAACGUAGGGAAACUUACGCUAAUACCGCAUACGACCUACGGGUGAAAGCAGGGGAUCUUCGGACCUUGCGCGAUUGAAUGAGCCGAUGUCGGAUUAGCUAGUUGGCGGGGUAAAGGACCACCAAGGCGACGAUCCGUAGCUGGUCUGAGAGGAUGAUCAGCCACAAUGGAACUGAGACACGCUCCAGACUCCUACGGGAGGCAGCAGUGGGGAAUAUUGGACAAUGGGCGAAAGCCUGAUCCAGCCAUACCGCGUGGGUGAAGAAGGCCUUCGGGUUGUAAAGCCCUUUUGUUGGGAAAGAAAAGCAGCAGGUUAAUACCCCGCUGUUCUGACGGUAACCAAAGAAUAAGCACCGGCUAACUUCGUG